AGGCCUUGAUCUCCUAUCAUACUCUUUGACGGCAAAGUCGUUAGGGUUUCCGAUGAAUCGACACUCUGUAAUCUUUUAUAUAACACAUAAGACAUCUAUGCUUUCGGUAAAAAAAAUACAUUACGAUUCAGAAUAAUUCUUCGCCAGUCAACUGUCAGGGACAACGACUGCCGACGGUCGGCUAGGUGGGUCGUACGACGACAACAUUCUUUCUACUUCUCCGCAUGCAUGCUAAAAGGCGUCGACCUUUUACUCUACUCUAUACGGCAAAGACGUUUGGGUUUCCGAUGAAUCAAAGCUCUUUAAUCUUGUAUAUUACGCCGGUGACACAUUCAGAAUAAUUCCUACACAUCAACACUGCCGACGUCUGUUUUUUCGAUCGGCACAGUGGUCACUUUUCCGUUCUCCUGUUAAUUUGCAUAUCCAUCGUUGGACUGUUUCGACUAGCGACUGGGCAGACGUCGACGACAUUCAUUCUAUUUCUCGGAAAUGGCAGAAUUUACUUUCAUACCAAGAAAGACAGAAGAUUCCUUCAAACAAGCGGCAGAAAUGAGUGUUCCAACACAAAAGAAACAAUGGCAGGUGAAGCAACAUGAAAGAUUCGCUUGAAGAAUGUAUAUAUGUUUCUGGAAAUAAUUAUGCCGAUGGCGAGAUAUGUGGUGAUGAUUAUGAUUAUACAUGCGGAGUUGAAGACUGGAGAGACGAGGAUGUUGACGACUGGGUUUGAUGACUUGCUCAAUUAUUGGAACUUGCUGUUUCCCUCCAACUUUCUUUAUGAUCAGACAAGGUAAUGAUAUCAAGGCCAUUUCUACGCUGCACAUAUCUGUGUUCUUGGAUCAUUUUGCAUUUUUGUACUCAAACUUGGAUAAAGUCUAAAUGUGUUAUGUUGAUUUGUUGGUUUAUGAAGUAUUUUUUGGGUUUCUUGUCUCUUAAAUCUUAUGUUUAAUAAGCCGAAUGACACAUUGAUGGGUAUGCAUUAUUUAUGUGAACAAGAAAACUGACAAACUGUA